rnacentral:rRNA from 1 species
GCUUGUCUCAAAGAUUAAGCCAUGCACGUCUAAGUAUAAGCGAUUAUACUGUGAAACUGCGAAUGGCUCAUUAUAUCAGUUAUAGUUUAUUUGAUGGUCCUUGCUACUUGGAUAACCGUAGUAAUUCUAGAGCUAAUACAUGCAUAAAUCCCCGACUGCUUGGAAGGGGUGUAUUUAUUAGAUUGAAACCAAUGCGGGUUCCCCGGUAUUUGGUGAUUCAUAAUAACUUUCGGAUCGACUUCGGUCGAUGCAUCAUUCAAGUUUCUGCCCUAUCAGCUUUGGAUGGUAGGGUAUUGGCCUACCAUGGCUUUAACGGGUAACGGAGAAUUAGGGUUCGAUUCCGGAGAGGGAGCCUGAGAAAUGGCUACCACAUCCAAGGAAGGCAGCAGG